UUCCCUGUAUACACCAGUGGAUAAUGAAUUGGAUUUUUAAUCCAAAGGUCGUGGGUUCAAAUCCCAACAGGGAUAA